AGAGACAGCAGGAUAGAGCUGGAGGCUAUAUUUUCUUUCAGAGAAGGGGGGACCAUCACAUACGCACAAAACAAUCCAAAAUGAUUGAACAGGAUGCAAACAGGGCAUCUAUCCAUCUUCCAAACGUUGGCACCCAGUUUCAACAGGAGGUAAUUAGUGGUUCUCCUUUUAACAAUCUGAGAAAAAGAGAUAUACAAUGCAUGCUUGCAAGGUAUACUGGGGUUUCCUAUUUCCUUGUCAAACCACUGAGAAACAAGGGUACACCUUGGUAUAUUUAAAGUGAGGCUCCCUGACACAAGAAAAAAUCAAGAUAAACCUGGCAUCGUAUCCUAUUUCUGGGAGCUCUGGAAUUCUCUUCAAAAGCUCAAAUUCUCAAUGACAUCAUGAUAGUAUGAACAAGAAGACUUGUAUCCCAGAACUUGUAAAUCCUGCAAUUUCAGCAAAUAAAACAUUAAAACAAUCAA